AUUAUUAUCUUCUCUUUCUUUUUUUCUGAUGCUAAAUCUCUUAUCUUAUGUCAUAAAUAAUCAUAUUGUUGGAUAUGCUGACAAAAAAAAAUAGUUGUCUUGGAUAUCUUUCUUUCCUGUCUAAUCGAAAUAUUUUGAUUGGGAAUAAUGGACUACCCUCUAAAUAAACAUAACUCCAGUCUAAAGGCUAGAUGUUACAACUUACAACCUUCUCUCCAAUAAACCGAUUACCCCGAAGAGAAAAAGUGAUCUAACAAAGGAAUGACACAAAUAAACCAUAAAAUAGAGGUUUUAACCUUCUCUCUAGAUCUAUCCAUUUGUUAUUGACUGUUUGUCGACUCCGGCUGCUUCCAUAGAGCUGUAGUCGCUCUUUGUCUUUUUAUCUAGAUAUUUCGCUUUUGCUCUCGUUUUACUCUACAUGUGGAUUUCCAGACCUUCGAUCUUGCUUUGCCCCUUCCAGAAGGAACAAGAGUUUUAGCUAAUCUUGCUGUGUGUUAAUCGUUCUUCUCCUAUUAAUCUUUCUAGUCAGCGUGGGUUGGGUUUACUACCCUUCAGAUCUAUUUAUUUCCAAGAUACAUAAUGAUGGAUUGAAUGAUUUGCAUGUUGAUAUUAAUCUCUCUUAAUUUGGCUCAUAUUUGGUUUCGAUCUUCAUCCUUGUCAAGUUCUCGAUCAACUUUGAACCUGUUUAUGAGUGGUUUCGGUCCUUGUGGUUUAUCUUAUGAUUUGAUCGAGAUCUACAGUCUGUCGUGCUUCAAUUUUGCGUUUUAAGUCGGUUUUUCUCUGUCUGCGCAUUUCUGGUUGAUGACUUAUGAACUAAAAGUGGUUCUGUCUCCUAGAGUAUGAAGCUUUAGUCUCUUAUUCUCUUGGGAUAUUCACUAUAGGAGGAUUCCCUCGUCUUGUCUCUAUCAAAAAGCUCUAAAGAAAAUCUUCAUGACUUGUUUUAUUUGAAACACUUUUUUUUUUGAAACACAAUCUUCAUGCCUUGUUGUUAUUGAUUUUUGUUGGGUUUUUUUAUCUGUUCCUUGCUUCUGCCAGUUUGGAUCUGUUAGUUUAGAUUAUGUGCUUGUUCUAUGUUUCCAUAUUUUCCCAUUUUUGGACUUUCGUCUCUGAAGACCUUUGUGUUGGUUUGUCGGCUCUUGAUUACCAGAGUUCAUUGAAAUUGUAAGAUUUUGUAACUGUUCUUGUUGAAUAUAAUCCUUCUUUUAUUGUUAAAACAUCCUCAGUAAUGAACACUGGGCCAAAGAGGAUGACACUCAUUGCAGUCUCUCGAAAUACUUUUCAAUGAGUUGGAUACCUCUCUUCUCUGAUUGCAAAAAUAGUCCACAUCGAAUGUAAAUGUAAAAAAUGAAAUAUAAAGUGUUCAUAUUUUUUUAAUGAUGCCGAGGUUUUGGGUUUGUAAGCUCGUGUACCUUUCUAGACAAAAACUAAACCUAUAUUAAAUUAAUUCUCUUUUGGAGGUAUACCGUUCACGUUAGGAUUUAAUUCAAAUUCUGAUAUCUUUAAUUUUUUAUUUAUAAUUAUUUCUUAAAAUUAUUAUAAAAUAUCUAGUAUAAUAUGUGGUUUGUCUUUUAUUUUAAAAAUUUGUGAUCCUCAUAUCCAUAUAUGUGAAACAAACAUAUUAGAUAGCGAUCACAUUAUUGUGUCCGGAUUUUGCGUGGUAAGUACUAUACACUAAGUUUGCCAUUUCGAGCUAGUGAUAUAGAUACCCCUUCAUAUAUAUGUAUGGACUAGUUUAUCUGCAGUGAGGCCUCUGCUGUUGUUGGAGAUUUGGCAAAAUAUCUAUUUAGGUUAUGAUGUAAGAGCAUGGAAGGAUCCACGGAUUCCAACUUCAACUUCACCUGCAAGGUCGGCUAGGCCAAAUGUCCUAGUAGCACAUCUCAUAAUUAAGUUAGUGAUUUAGUUAAUGAAGAAUCAAUGGAAUGGGACGUUGUGAUUCUUGAUAACUUUGUAGCACAAGAAAUAUACCAUUGGAAACUUGAUGGACAUACAUAUACUUAAGGCUGAAGAAUAUGUUGUUUACGUAAAACCAAGCAUCGCGAAACUCCAGCAUAGGUGGGGGAGGAUAUCACAGUUCAUUUUGAAGACCCAAAAACGUCCAUGAUGAGGAGCCAUAUAUCGGGCAAAGCCAAAGGAGAUUCAAGCUCAUUUUUACUUAGUUUUCUUAUGUAUGAAGUACUUAUGUAAAAUAUCUAAGUAUUAAAUAUUAUAAAAAGUGUGUGAAAAUA